UACGGGGGGGGCAAGCGUUGUUCGGAAUUACUGGGCGUAAAGGGUUCGUAGGUGGCUUGCUCAGUCAGACGUGAAAUCCCUCAGCUUAACUGGGGAACUGCGUCUGAUACUGGCGAGCUUGAGUGCAGGAGAGGAACGCGGAAUUCCAGGUGUAGCGGUGAAAUGCGCAGAUAUCAGGAGGAACACCGGUGGCGAAGGCGGUUCUCUGGGCAUUACCUGACGCUGAGGAGCGAAAGUGUGGGGAGCGAACAGG
rnacentral:rRNA from 1 species